rnacentral:tRNA from 1 species
UGUAGCUCAGUGGUAGAGUGCUUGCCUAGCAUGCAUGAGGCCCUGGGUUCAAUCUCCCCAGUA